GGUGAGUAACGCGUGAGUAACCUGCCUUACACAAGGGGAUAGCCGUUGGAGACGACGAAUAAUACCCUAUGAAACUAUCACUUCGCAUGAAGCGAUAGUCAAAGUGUUAGCGGUGUAAGAUGGACUUGCGUCUGAUUAGCUAGUUGGUGAGAAAAAGCCCACCAAGGCAACGAUCAGUAGCCGGCUUGAGAGAGUGUACGGCCACAUUGGGACUGAGACACGGCCCAG
rnacentral:rRNA from 1 species